rnacentral:misc_RNA from 1 species
AAGUCGUAACAAGGUCUCCGUAGGUAAGUUUAAACCAAAACCCCCCCACGUUUGUUACACACCCCCGUUCAAUAUACUAACUGUCAUACAGGUGAACCUGCGGAGGGAUCAUUACAGAGUUAGGGCUCGUAUAAAGCCCGACCUCCCACCCUUUGUUUACAAAACCAUGUUGCCUCGGGGCGGAUCCCGCUUAAGUGACGGCGUCCCCCCGGUGGAAUACUAAACCCUGCAUCGUUUGCGUCGGAGUAAAUUUGAAUAAAUCAAAACUUUCAACAACGGAUCUCUUGGUUCUG